rnacentral:rRNA from 1 species
AACGAACGCUGGCGGCAGGCUUAACACAUGCAAGUCGAGCGCCCACUUCGGUGGGAGCGGCAGACGGGUGAGUAACGCGUGGGGAUCUACCCAGUGGUACGGAACAACCCGGGGAAACUCGGGCUAAUACCGUAUAAGUCCUUCGGGAGAAAGAUUUAUCGCCAUUGGAUGAACCCGCGUCUGAUUAGCUAGUUGGUGAGGUAAUGGCUCACCAAGGCGACGAUCAGUAGCUGGUCUGAGAGGAUGAUCAGCCACAUUGGGACUGAGACACGGCCCA